rnacentral:rRNA from 1 species
UUGAACUGAAGAGUUUGAUCCUGGCUCAGAUUGAACGCUGGCGGCAUGCCGUACACAUGCAAGUCGAACGGCAGCACGGAGGUA